rfam:Chlorocebus sabaeus isolate 1994-021 chromosome 6, whole genome shotgun sequence.
GCCAGGUGUGGUGGCGUGCACCUGUAGUCCCAGCUACUCAGGAGGCUGAGACAGAAGAAUUGCUGGAACCCGGGAGGCGGAGGUUGCAGUGAGCCGAGAUUGAGCCACUGCACUCCAGCCUGGACAAUGGAGGGGAGACUCGGGUCUANNNNNNNNNNAGCUGGAGUGCAGUGGCUCAAUCUCGGCUCACUGCAACCUCCGCCUCCCGGGUUCACGCCAUUCUCCUGCCUCAG